AUCACUUCUCAGCCUUUUGGCUAAGAUCAAGUGAAGAAUAUUUUAGUGAAAACACUUUUUUUUUUAAUUUGAGAGGGAGACAGAGAAAUAAAGCUCCCAUUUGCUGGUUCACUCUCCAAAUGCCUGUGAUGGCUGGGGCUGGGCCAUGCCCCA
ensembl:snRNA U2 U2 spliceosomal RNA